GACGAACGCUGGCGGCGUGCUUAACACAUGCAAGUCGAACGGAAGUAAGGAUUUCGGUUUUACUUUAGUGGCGAACGGGUGAGUAACGCGUGAGGAACCUGCCUUUCAGUGGGGGACGAACAGUUGGAAACGACUGCUAAUACCGCAUGAAACUAUCGGGCCGCAUGGUCUGGUAGUCAAAGAUUUAUUGCUGAAAGAUGGCCUCGCGUCUGAUUAGCUAGUUGGUGGGGUAACGGCUCACCAAGGCGACGAUCAGUAGCCGGACUGAGAGGUUGACCGGCCACAUUGGGACUGAGAUACGGCCCAGACUCCUACGGGAGGCAGCAGUGGGGAAUAUUGGGCAAUGGGCGAAAGCCUGACCCAGCAACGCCGCGUGAA
rnacentral:rRNA from 1 species